rnacentral:rRNA from 1 species
AUGUCUGGGAAACUGCCUGAUGGAGGGGGAUAACUACUGGAAACGGUAGCUAAUACCGCAUAACGUCGCAAGACCAAAGUGGGGGACCUUCGGGCCUCAUGCCAUCAGAUGUGCCCAGAUGGGAUUAGCUAGUAGGUGGGGUAACGGCUCACCUAGGCGACGAUCCCUAGCUGGUCUGAGAGGAUGACCAGCCACACUGGAACUGAGACACGGUCCAGACUCCUACGGGAGGCAGCAGUGGGGAAUAUUGCACAAUGGGCGCAAGCCUGAUGCAGCCAUGCCGCGUGUG